rnacentral:rRNA from 1 species
CCUACGGGCGGCUGCAGUGGGGAAUAUUGCACAAUGGGCGCAAGCCUGAUGCAGCCAUGCCGCGUGUGUGAAGAAGGCCUUCGGGUUGUAAAGCACUUUCAGCGGGGAGGAAGGCGUUAAGGUUAAUAACCUUGUCGAUUGACGUUACCCGCAGAAGAAGCACCGGCUAACUCCGUGCCAGCAGCCGCGGUAAUACGGAGGGUGCAAGCGUUAAUCGGAAUUACUGGGCGUAAAGCGCACGCAGGCGGUCUGUCAAGUCGGAUGUGAAAUCCCCGGGCUCAACCUGGGAACUGCAUUCGAAACUGGCAGGCUAGAGUCUUGUAGAGGGGGGUAGAAUUCCAGGUGUAGCGGUGAAAUGCGUAGAGAUCUGGAGGAAUACCGGUGGCGAAGGCGGCCCCCUGGACAAAGACUGACGCUCAGGUGAGAAAGCGUGGGGAGCAAACAGGAUUAGAUACCCGGGUAGUC